UAGGGAAUCUUCCGCAAUGGACGAAAGUCUGACGGAGCAACGCCGCGUGAGUGAAGAAGGAUUUCGGUUCGUAAAACUCUGUUGUUAGGGAAGAAAAAAUGUAUAGUAACUAUAUACAAAAGAGACGGUACCUAACCAGAAAGCCACGGCUAACUACGUGCCAGCAGCCGCGGUAAUACGUAGGUGGCAAGCGUUGUCCGGAAUUAUUGGGCGUAAAGCGCGCGCAGGUGGUUUAGAAAGUCUGAUGUGAAAGCCCACGGCUCAACCGUGGAGGGUCAUUGGAAACUAAUAAACUUGAGUGCAGGAGAGAAAAGUGGAAUUCCUAGUGUAGCGGUGAAGUGCGUAGAGAUUAGGAGGAACACCGGUGGCGAAAGCGGCUUUUUGGCCUGCAACUGACACUGAGGCGCGAAAGCGUGGGGAGCAAACAGG
rnacentral:rRNA from 1 species